rnacentral:rRNA from 1 species
AAAAGUGAAAGACGGUCUUGCUGUCACUUAUAGAUGGAUCCGCGCUGCAUUAGCUAGUUGGUAAGGUAACGGCUUACCAAGGCAACGAUGCAUAGCCGACCUGAGAGGGUGAUCGGCCACACUGGAACUGAGACACGGUCCAGACUCCUACGGGAGGCAGCAGUAGGGAAUCUUCCGCAAUGGGCGAAAGCCUGACGGAGCAACGCCGCGUGAGUGAUGAAGGUCUUCGGAUCGUAAAACUCUGUUAUUAGGGAAGAACAUAUGUGUAAGUAACUGUGCACAUCUUGACGGUACCUAAUCAGAAAGCCACGGCUAACUACGUGCCAGCAGCCGCGGUAAUACGUAGGUGGCAAGCGUUAUCCGGAAUUAUUGGGCGUAAAGCGCGCGUAGGCGGUUUUUUAAGUCUGAUGUGAAAGCCCACGGCUCAACCGUGGAGGGUCAUUGGAAACUGGAAAACUUGAGUGCAGAAGAGGAAAGUGGAAUUCCAUGUGUAGCGGUGAAAUGCGCAGAGAUAUGGAGGAACACCAGUGGCGAAGGCGACUUUCUGGUCUGUAACUGACGCUGAUGUGCGAAAGCGUGGGGAUCAAACAGGAUUAGAUACCCUGGUAGUCCACGCCGUAAACGAUGAGUGCUAA